GUGGUUCUUUGUGCGACUGCGGUGACUCAAGGGACGAUGUGCCCGGCGCCGGACUCUGAACUAUUCCAUCAGUACACUAGACAAUGAUGUCCUAUGCAACUGGACCUGGAGUGAUCCAGCUUGGCGACGGUGGUGCACGUCGUCGAGGCUUAGGUAUUGCCUCACCAGGCGCCAGCAAUCGUACCCCAGGUCCUGCAGUUGCGUGCCGCAGCCGUCGGCAGGUGGCGCGCACGUCACGCAUUCCUUGACGACGCCGGUGAGUCGCAUGAAGUCGUGCAGCGUUUCGACGAUGCUGAGAUGACUUCGGAUCAUCAGGGCCGCUUGGCGUGCUGGGAUACCCUCCUUGUCGGCGAGCUCUCUCACAAGGGCUGGAUUUCGUGAGACCUUCUCCAAUGCGGUAGCGGUGUACCUGUUUGCGACGACACGAGUGAUCCGAAUAAGAAUUAGUUGCUGCGAACAGGUGCAUUCAGUAUAAAUCGAAGCCCGUAUAAGCAAAGAAA